rnacentral:lncRNA from 1 species
UCCCAUGUCAGAUUUCCUCAAAAUGCUUUGGUUUUUGAGUUAUAAGCCAAAAACUGCAUUUUACCCCUUUGUGUUAUUUUUAGCUGUGGCGGCCAUCUUGGUUGGUUGACCAGGUCACGCCACACAUUUUUUAAACUAGAUACCCCAAAGAUGAUUGUGGCCAAGUUUGGAUUAAUUUGGCUCAGUAGUUUCAGAGGAGAAGAUUUUUGUAAAAGAUUACUUUAAUUAACGAAAAAUGGUUAAAAAUUGACUAUAAAGGGCAAUAACUCCUAAACGGGUCAACUGACCAUUUUGGUCAUGUUGACUUAUUUGUAGAUCUUACUUUGCUGAACAUUAUUGCUGUUUACAGUUUAUCUCUAACUAUAAUAAUAUUCAAG